rnacentral:siRNA from 1 species
CCAAGGUGUGAACUCGUUGAA